rnacentral:miRNA from 13 species
UGAGGGUCUACUGUGUGCCAG